rnacentral:rRNA from 1 species
AACGGCCGUACCAUGCUGAAUAUACCGGUUCUCGUUAGAUCACCGAAGUUUAAGCAUCAUUGGGCGCGGUCAGUAUUGGGUGGGUGACCACCUGGGAACACUGCGUGCCGUU